CUUCCUUCCUUCCUCUCUCUCUUUCUUUCUUCUUUCUUUCAAUCUUUCUUUCUUUUUUCUUUCUCUCUUUCUCUCUCUCUCUCUCUUUUGACACAGUCUCACUCCGUUGCCCAGGCUGGAGUGCAGAGACGCAAUCUCAGCUCACUGCAACCUCUGCCUCCCAGGUUCAAGCAAUUCUCCUGCCUCAGCCUCCUGAGUAGCUGGGAUUACAGGCACUCGCCACCACAUCUAGCUGAUUUUUGUUUUUUUAGUAGAGGUGGGGUUUCGCCAAGUGGCCAGGCUGGUCUCAAACUCCUGACCUCAGGUAAUCCGCCCACCUCAGCCUCCCAAAGUGCUGGGAUUACAAGCGUGAACCGCCACACCUGGCUCAUUCAUUCAUUUAUUCAUCUGUGUGAGGCAAACCACAAGUCAUCAGCGUCACAGCAAAACAAAAACAGACACACAACAGAAGAAACCACGCUGGUGAGGUCAGCAGGGUGGAAGAUAGCGGAGACUAGGCAGGGAGGCUCAGCUGCACCUGACACACAACAGAGGUUCUCCAGGAACAGCAGAUGAAUGAGUACAAAAUCAAAGAGGUGGUUUCCCUCUUCCUCCAGCAGACAAACCCAGAAUUGCAAAGAUCCCUCGAUGAACUAAUGUAACCAUAUCAGGCAAACUGCAUCCCCUUGUCUGUCUUUCGUUCUCCCCCAGGCACACUUGCCAGCUUCCUCUUUCUGCGUCCUCCUGGGCAUAUCCAGCCUUCAUCAUGAAGCCGUGUCUAUUUUCCACUUGCACACUUUCCUGGAAGACUCUUGGACAGCGUAUCAAGAUCUCUCAUUUUCUGGCUUGAACUCACUGCAGACUCAUCUUGUGGCAAGGCUCACCACCCACCAUGCCGGGCCUUGUCAGUGCCCUGGGGCAGCGUGGAUGGGCUGCCCACGCUCUCAACUAACAGACGGCAGCAAAGGCCAUCACCUCCUUCUGAAGGAAUCAGAAGUUGGAACCAGGCCAGUGUAGGGUGGGACCAGAACUGAUGCCUGGACACAUGACCAUAGACUGUCCUUGCUGUUGGAGAGCUGGGGACCGCGCCAUAGGAGGCUGUGUGUGGUUAUCGCCUGUGAGCCCCCAAGACCUUCAUUUCCUCAUCUGCCUUUACUUUGUGUCUCCUCUGAACGUGAUCCUGUGUUCUGGGUUUUUUGUUUUUUUUUUUUUGAAAUGGCAGCAUUUCAAAUAUGCUGUUUUUUACCAUCAAUCAUUUCUUGCCAGCUGGGUGCAGUGAGUGACACCUGUCAUCCCAGCCCUUUGGGAGGGCGAGGCUGGUGGAUCACAAGGUCAAGAGUUCGAGACCAGCCUGGCUAACAUGGUGAAACCCCGUCUCUACUAAAAAUACAAACAUUAGCCAGGCGUGGUGGCCUGUGCCUGUAGUUCCAGCUACUCAGGAGGCUGAGUCACACGACUUGCUUGAACCCAGGAGGUGGAGGUUGCAGUGAGCCAAGAUUGUUCCACUGCACUCCAGCCUGGGUGAUAGAAUGAGAAUCUGUCUCAAAAAAAGAAAAAGAAAAAAGAAAAAAUGUUUCUUGCCUUGGUUUGAGUUGCCAGAAGCAAACUCUCGAUCAAGGGUUCGUGUAUCUGGGAGGUGAUCCCUGGCCACGCCUGUAGGAGGGUGGGAGGGGAGGCAGGGAAGGGAAGGGCCCAUUGAGGGCAUGUGAUCCCAACCAGUGUCACUCAGGGCAUUUGGACCCAAAUCCCGCUGGGGGCCCUGGACAACAGCAUAGACACCUGCCCCAGUUACCCCAGCUCCCUUCAGUCAGUGACCGAGAGGUGUUCAGGGACAGCUGUGGCUGGGACCUGAUGAUCCACCAGCUCUGGGGCAAGGCACAGUCAGGCACAUUGAUGCCUCCUGGGCUCCAAAGGGCACCGUAGGAGGCUCAGGUGGUUGGGGGUGUUCCCAGGACAGAGGUGGGUGCUCCCGGGAGCACACAGGGGUGGGACUUUGAGAGUUAGGCCAGGAAUCUGGGCAGGGAUCCUGCACGCCAAGGUGAGAGAAGCCAGAGCAGUACCAGGACCCAAGCCUCCUCUGGUGCCAGGCCCUGGCUGCACUGCUCCUGUUCCCGCUCCUGUGCCCCUGCAAGGAGGGCAUGCUGUUCACUGCUACUUGAGGCUCAAAGAGGGUAUCUAUGACCUGUCAGUGAACGGACCAGAGUAUAGGGAAGUGGAUGGGAGAGGGGCUGGAGGGGCAGGGCAGCUGCUGAGGGGUCUUGCUUAUCAUGGUAAGUGCCACUGUGUGAUGCUGGGUCCUGGACUCUGAAAGCCAGGGGGAAACACUUGCCUGGACUUUAUCCUAUAGGUGGGCGGUAUCCACUGAGGGCUUUGUUCAGAGCAUAGAGUGAUAAAAACUGGGCUUUGGGCCAGCAGAAGGCCGUGAAUGAGGUUCCCAUCACCUGUGCCCUACCUUGCCUUGGCU
ensembl:lincRNA